rnacentral:rRNA from 1 species
AUAUUGAAUGGCCGCGAUAAUUUGAUCGUGCAAAGGUAGCAUAAUAAUUAGUUUUUUAAUUGGGAACUGGAAUGAAAGGUCGAACGAGAAAAAGACUGUCUCAAUUUAAAUUUAAUUAGAAUUUUAUUUUUAAGUUAAAAAGCUUAAAUAUUUUUAAAAGACGAGAAGACCCUAUAGAGUUUUAUAUUUAAUAGUUUUUUAUUUAGUUUAAGAAUUUAAUUUUAGAAUUAAUUAUAAAAUAUUUGGUUGGGGUGAUUAAAAAAUUGAAUAAACUUUUUUUAUUAGAAAAACAUUGAUUUAUGAUUAAUUGAUCCAUUAUUAAUGAUUAUAAGAUUAAAUUACCUUAGGGAUAACAGCGUAAUUUUUUUUGAGAGUUCUUAUCGAAAAAAAAGUUUGCGACCUCGAUGUUGGAUUAAAAUUAACUUUUGGUGUAGAAGCUAAGUAGUUAGGUCUGUUCGACCUUUAAAAUUUUACAUGAUCUGAGUUUAAACCGGUGUAAGCCAGGUUGGUUUCUAUCUUUAAAAAUAUAAAAUAUUUUAGUACGAAAGGAUCAAAUA